GACGAACGCUGGCGGCGUGCUUAACACAUGCAAGUCGAACGGAAGGGCCCUGCUUUUGUGGGGUGCUCGAGUGGCGAACGGGUGAGUAACACGUGAGUAACCUGCCCUUGACUUUGGGAUAACUUCAGGAAACUGGGGCUAAUACCGGAUAGGAGCUCCUGCUGCAUGGUGGGGGUUGGAAAGUUUCGGCGGUUGGGGAUGGACUCGCGGCUUAUCAGCUUGUUGGUGGGGUAGUGGCUUACCAAGGCUUUGACGGGUAGCCGGCCUGAGAGGGUGACCGGCCACAAUGGGACUGAGAUACGGCCCAGACUCCUACGGGAGGCAGCAGUGGGGAAUAUUGCACAAUGGGCGGAAGCCUGAUGCAGCAACGCCGCGUGCGGGAUGACGGCCUUCGGGGUGUAAACCGCUUUCGCCUGUGACGAAGCGUGAGUGACGGUAAUGGGUAAAGAAGCACCGGCUAACUACGUG
rnacentral:rRNA from 1 species